GAGUGCGAACGGGUGAGUAAUGCAUCGGAACGUGCCCAGUAGUGGGGGAUAGCCCGGCGAAAGCCGGAUUAAUCCCGCAUACGACCUGAGGGUGAAAGGGGGGGAUCGCAAGACCUCUCGCUAUUGGAGCGGCCGAUGUCAGAUUAGCUAGUUGGUGGGGUAAAGGCCUACCAAGGCAACGAUCUGUAGUUGGUCUCAGAGGACGCCCAGCCGCCUGGGACUGAGACCCGGCCCAGACUCCUACGGGAGGCAGCAGUGGGGAAUUUUGGACAAUGGGCGCAAGCCUGAUCCAGCAAUGCCGCGUGCAGGAAGAAGGCCUUCGGGUUGUAAACUGCUUUUGUCAGGGAAGAAAUCUUCUGGGUUAAUACCUCGGGAGGAUGACGG
rnacentral:rRNA from 1 species